rnacentral:rRNA from 1 species
UACGUAGGGUGCAAGCGUUAAUCGGAAUUACUGGGCGUAAAGCGUGCGCAGGCGGUUGUGCAAGACAGAUGUGAAAUCCCCGGGCUUAACCUGGGAACUGCAUUUGUGACUGCACGGCUAGAGUGUGUCAGAGGGGGGUAGAAUUCCACGUGUAGCAGUGAAAUGCGUAGAGAUGUGGAGGAACACCGAUGGCGAAGGCAGCCCCCUGGGUUAACACUGACGCUCAGGCACGAAAGCGUGGGGAGCAAACAGG